UACAGAGGGUGCAAGCGUUGUUCGGAAUUAUUGGGCGUAAAGGGCGCGUAGGCGGCCUGGCAAGUGGAAGGUGAAAUCCCUCGGCUUAACCGAGGAACUGCCCUCCAAACUGCUUGGCUUGAGUCCGGGAGAGGUGAGUGGAAUUCCCAGUGUAGCGGUGAAAUGCGUAGAUAUCGGGAGGAACACCAGUGGCGAAGGCGGCUCACUGGACCGGUACUGACGCUGAUGCGCGAAAGCGUGGGGAGCAAACGGG
rnacentral:rRNA from 1 species